UGGUACCACUGCCCAGUCUAGUGGUACUAUUGCCUAACAUAGUCUUGGGACUGUGUCUCGGUGAUUGAGCCACUAACGAUGCCACCACCUGGACCGACGGAGCCACCGCCUAACCCAACUUUUGGGUCACUGAAUGAGCCUUUAUCUUGGCCCAAAAUAGCCCCAUUUUGGGCCAGUUGGCCCCUAAUUGAGUUGGUCUAAUUCCAAACUAAUUCAAUCUUAACACUACUUCGAUCUAGAUAGUUAUUACAAAGUGUUAAUCAAAUAUUUUUC
rnacentral:lncRNA from 1 species